GUCCAUGAGAAAUUUGAAACCAAUCGAACGGCACAAAGAAGAGAAAUUGGCUUUGGAAGGUUAGCAUCAAGAUUGGAGAAGGAGGCCAGCUAACACCCAAACACAUUUUUGAGGUUUUUGUCAAAUUGGUAACUCCGAUCCUUUUCAAUUUUUUUUGUGCUUGUUUUAAACUUGAUUUUUAAGAAGUAAGAAAAUUUUGAAUUGAGAUCAACGGUUUAUUCAUUAGAUAUUGAGGUUUAAAUCUGUCAUAGAAAUUACUAGGAUUUGGAUUAGGAUUUGGAUUAGGAUUUAGGGUUGGAUUAGAGUUUGGAUUAGGGUUUAAGAUUGGAUUAGGCUUUGGGUUAGGGUUUAGGGUUUGGUUAGGCUUUGAUUUAGGAUUUGGAUUAGGGUUUGAAUUAGGGUUUAGGAUUUGGUUAGGAUUUGAUUUAGGAUUUGGAUUAGAAUUUGAUUUAAGGUUUGGUUUAGGGUUUAGGAUUUGGAUUAGGAUUUAGGGUUGGAUUAGAGUUUGGAUUAGGAUUUAGGAUUUGGUUUAGGGUUUGGUUUAGGGUUUGAUUUAGGAUUUGGUUUAGGAUUUAGGAUUUAAAAUAUGGUUUGAUUUAGGGUUUAAUUUAUGGUUUGUUUAGGAUUUGACUUAAGAUUUAGGAUUUAUUAGGGUUUAAGAUUUAAUUAGUUUUGUUCUAAAGUUUGAGUGAAAUUUAAUAGGGUUUUAAUUAGAAUUAAAUUAAGAUUGAAUUGACAUAUAUUUGAGUAAAAUUUGUGUUCAUUCUAAUAUUUCUUUAAGAAUUUUAUUAUUUGUUUGAAAUUUCUUUGAGUUGUUUUGAAUUUCAUUACAUUUGUUUACCAUUAUUAUAGUCUAAUUAGAGCAUUGUUAGUAUUCUAUUAGAAUUAGGAUUUUGUUAUCGCAAUUUCUAUUCUUCCUUUUGCAGCCAGGUGCCCGGAGCAUUCUCAAGCAAGACUUCACACA
rnacentral:lncRNA from 1 species